rnacentral:rRNA from 1 species
AUUGAACGCUGGCGGCAGGCCUAACACAUGCAAGUCGAACGAGUGGCGGACGGGUGAGUAAUGUCUGGGAAACUGCCUGAUGGAGGGGGAUAACUACUGGAAACGGUAGCUAAUACCGCAUACCAUCGGAUGUGCCCAGAUGGGAUUAGCUAGUAGGUGGGGUAACGGCUCACCAAGGCGACGAUCCGUAACUGGUCUGAGAGGAUGACCAGCCACACUGGAACUGAGACACGGUCCAGACUCCUACGGGAGGCAGCAGUGGGGAAUAUUGGACAAUGGGCGCAAGCCUGAUCCAGCCAUGCCGCGUGUGUGAAGAAGGUCUUCGGGUUGUAAAGUACUUUAAGUUGGGAGGCGUUACCAGCAGAAUAAGCACCGGCUAACUCCGUGCCAGCCGCCGCGGUAAUAC